AUGCAUAGGGUUUUGUUGUUAGGAAAUCCUUUGCAGAAUGACUCAGAAAAAUUCUUUGAAGUGGAUAACUUCAUUAAUCCCGCAGUAUUAGGACCUAUCGCAUAUUUUCGAUGUUAUUUUGAGGCUCCAAUAAUUUGGAAUAGAACCUACUGCUACUGCAGAAGGGAAGAAACUCGGUUCCGAACGUACUGCAAAACUAAGUUCCGAAGUUAA